CCGGGCGUCUGACCGGGCCAAUAAACCCGGGUCGUCCCUCAUCCUUUGCUUAAGCUCCUCCUGCACCCCCUGCCGAAAGGCGGGAUGCGUGCGGGAGCACCUUCCUCCCCAGCGCGGCCCUGACCGGCCCCUGGGGGUAUUACAAUAAAACCCUCUGUAUCAGUGACCUGUCAGAGCGGCGGCGGCCGUUAAAACCGCGAACCAAAUA
rnacentral:misc_RNA from 1 species